rnacentral:rRNA from 1 species
UACAGAGGGUGCGAGCGUUAAUCGGAAUUACUGGGCGUAAAGGGCGCGUAGGCGGCCUGUUAAGUCGAACGUGAAAUCCCCGGGCUCAACCCGGGAACUGCGUCCGAUACUGGCAGGCUUGAAUCCGGGAGAGGGAUGCGGAAUUCCAGGUGUAGCGGUGAAAUGCGUAGGUAUCUGGAGGAACACCGGUGGCGAAGGCGGCAUCCUGGACCGGCAUUGACGCUGAGGCGCGAAAGCGUGGGGGAGCAAACA